AGCGAACGCUGGCGGCAGGCCUAAAACAUGCAAGUCGAACGCCGUAGCAAUACGGAGUGGCAGACGGGUGAGUAACACGUGGGAACGUGCCUUUUGGUUUGGAACAACCCAGGGAAACUUGGGCUAAUACCGGAUAGGCCCUUCGGGGGAAAGAUUUAUCGCCAGAAGAUCGGCCCGCGUCGGAUUAGCUAGUUGGUGGGGUAACGGCCCACCAAGGCUACGAUCAGUAGCUGGUCUGAGAGGAUGAUCAGCCACACUGGGACUGAGACACGGCCCAGACUCCUACGGGAGGCAGCAGUUAGGAAUCUUGGACAAUGGGCGCAAGCCUGAUCCAGCCAUGCCGCGUGUGUGAUGAAGGCCUUAGGGUUGUAAAGCUCUUUCAGCGGGGAAGAUAAUGACGGUACCCGCAGAAGAAGCCCCGGCUAACUUCGUGCCAGCCGCCGCAGUAAUAC
rnacentral:rRNA from 1 species